rnacentral:lncRNA from 1 species
CUCUUCUGCACUUUCCCCAGGGCUGCCCCCGGCGAGCCCAGCCCCAGGCUGAGCACUCGGACCCUGACCCCGGGUGCCGAGCUGAGGGAGCACCCAAGAGGGCUACCAGGUGGUUGGGUGUGGAGUGUUGGCAGCAAGGAGUAAUUAACAUGGAGACAAAAGCUGCCGCUGAAAUUCGCUGUGGCCGCUGCCUCUUCCCGCUUUAAUCCCAGACCUCCAGUCAUUGGGCAGCUCCUCAGAGGCAAGAAGUCAACACCAUGGCAACCCGACAAGCCUAUCAAAUCACCGGCUGGUGUGACAGCGGCAACACUGCAGGCAGGAGUGGGUUGGGCAGAAGAGCAGAGUGGCCGCCACGCUCAGCAAAAAAUGAUAACAUCAUUUUUAUGUGACUCAUAUGCAAAAUGAAAUACAUUCAUCUAUGAGAUCGGCUGAUGGGAAAUAAAAUCAGAUAUUUUACUUCUAACUCCA